UAUAGCCCGAGAUCAACACUUUUUGUUUUGCGGUCUUGCAUCUGUUGGUGGUUGAAAACAAAUCUUAAGAACUGCAAAAACUAGAUGGAUGUCAUUUGUUAAAUCACUGCUGACAAGCUUGAGGAAAAGGACUUUUUUGGAAGUGCAUUUAAGGUGUUUUGAAGAAUAAAAUGUACUUAGCUAGUCAAGCAACAAUUUAAAAGAAAUGAAAAAAUAACAACUAAGAAGAUGAGAUUUUUAUAAAAGAAACUCCAGUGAUGUGGGCUUGUGUAUUUUUGGCCCUGAUUUUUUUCAAUUUGACACUCGUUUCAGUGAUGUUUCAAUUACUGUUGUAAAGUGCAUCCCGUACAUUUUGAAAUUGUGGCCUCCACGUGUGUGCAGUUAUACAGAUUAGAAUUAAAACAUACAUGGUUUAUUUAGUUUCCCAAGUUUCAGUAGUUUGACAGAGAGACGAGCAAGCUAGUCCCCGGAGGCUGUUCUCUGGAGUGUAACAAAUGAGAGAUAUCUUAUCAUUGGUGACACUACUCAACAGUCAGAGCACAAGCCACUCAUGGUACAUCCAGUUUCUUGAUGAUGGAGUUCCUGCACUCGUUGUUGAGGUGAUUGAUACUUUGAUCUCUUGCUGUUGCCUUCUGGGUAAAAGCUGUAGCAUUGAUGAAAAGACAAGACCAGGCCCCUUGGAGACAGUUUUCUGGAGUUAAACACAUCACUGGCAACUGGCAUUACUGACAACACAACUCACUCGGUAAGCACUUUAUAUCAUGUUCUGAUUUUAGCCUAACAAAAGUCAUGUUCCAGAUUUUGAACAAUAUCUGUACAUAAUUUUGUAUACAUGUACAAUUGUUUUGUAAAAUCUGGAGCAUGGCUUAUCAGGCACCACUCUUGAGGACGACGAGAGCAUGCUGGAUGAAACGUCAAGCACACACUCUACAGUUCUUAUCAGAACCAUACAUCUUCCAAGGGAGAUCUAUCCACGUGAUGUAACCACAAGCCCUGUCUUUAGUCUCCACCAUGUAAAGCUUCAAGUCUUAUUUAAUGAAGGUGAACACUUAGGGCAGUUAUGCUUCCUGGUUUCCCAUUUGUAAGUUGGUCUUGUAGUUGGAUAUUUGCACCAAAUUUGGCUCUUUAUAAGGCCUAAUCCAAAAUAAGCAUUUUUCUGUGACUGUAGGGUUGGUGAAAAUCAACUGAUCUUGUUGUCAUUUUGUUGAACAUAUCCACUGAAGAAUGUUUCAUUCUGAUAUUGCCACAUUUAAGAGAACUAUACACAAAUGAAGGCGAAAGCUUGGGUCAGUCAUUAUGUUUGCUAGUAAUCUUCUCCCUCUUGUACUUGUUAGUCAAUCUGUUUCAGUAGUUAGUUUGGCCUGUAUAUGUGACGAUAGUCUUCAAAUAGUCGAAAGUUGUACCUUUGUUAAUCGUGAUGGGUGCCAUCUCUUCAAUUAUUCUUAUUUAUUUGACCAUCACUAGAACAAACAAGGCAAAAUUGAACAAAAAUUAUGUAAAAAACAACAAAAGCACAAAUACAAGUAAAUAUAAGCAGUAGCAGGGACCAGGGACGAAAAUCCAAAUACAUAACAAGACAAAUAUCAGUUAUGCGGGUCAGCAGGGACUGCACAGGUAAAAUAAACUACUAUUACCCCCAUUUAUGCUCAUAUCGUCAACAAGACAAAUUAAGACAAACAAAGGUCCCCACACAGGUGAUCAAAAUGACAGCCCAAAAAAGAGAAAAAAAAUCUUAGGAGAACGUUUCAUUUCCAUAUUUCCAAACGUAAGAAAGUUAUCCUGCAAAGUGAAGACCAUGCUAUAAUUCUUUCUCGUUCUUUUUAAUCAUGUGAAUUUACUAAUUAAAAAAAUAUCCAGUUUUAAUCA
rnacentral:lncRNA from 1 species